GCGGAUGUAGUUCAGUGGUAGAACAUCAGCUUCCCAAGCUGAAUACGGGAGUUCGAUUCUCCUCAUCCGCU
rnacentral:tRNA from 1 species